rnacentral:tRNA from 1 species
GUCCCCGUAGUUCAAUGGAUAGAAUAUCUCCCUCCGAAGGAGAAGAUUGAGGUUCGAUUCCUCAUGGGGACA